rnacentral:rRNA from 1 species
CCCGUACACAAAAAUGCACAUGCUGUGAGCUCGAUGAGUAGGGCGGGACACGUGGUAUCCUGUCUGAAUAUGGGGGGACCAUCCUCCAAGGCUAAAUACUCCUGACUGACCGAUAGUGAACCAGUACCGUGAGGGAAAGGCGAAAAGAACCCCGGCGAGGGGAGUGAAAAAGAACCUGAAACCGUGUACGUACAAGCAGUGGGAGCACGCUUAGGCGUGUGACUGCGUACCUUUUGUAUAAUGGGUCAGCGACUUAUAUUCUGUAGCAAGGUUAACCGAAUAGGGGAGCCGAAGGGAAACCGAGUCUUAACUGGGCGUUAAGUUGCAGGGUAUAGACCCGAAACCCGGUGAUCUAGCCAUGGGCAGGUUGAAGGUUGGGUAACACUAACUGGAGGACCGAACCGACUAAUGUUGAAAAAUUAGCGGAUGACUUGUGGCUGGGGGUGAAAGGCCAAUCAAACCGGGAGAUAGCUGGUUCUCCCCGAAAGCUAUUUAGGUAGCGCCUCGUGAAUUCAUCUCCGGGGGUAGAGCACUGUUUCGGCAAGGGGGUCAUCCCGACUUACCAACCCGAUGCAAACUGCGAAUACCGGAGAAUGUUAUCACGGGAGACACACGGCGGGUGCUAACGUCCGUCGUGAAGAGGGAAACAACCCAGACCGCCAGCUAAGGUCCCAAAGUCAUGGUUAAGUGGGAAACGAUGUGGGAAGGCCCAGACAGCCAGGAUGUUGGCUUAGAAGCAGCCAUCAUUUAAAGAAAGCGUAAUAGCUCACUGGUCGAGUCGGCCUGCGCGGAAGAUGUAACGGGGCUAAACCAUG